ACGUAGGAGGCAAGCGUUAUCCGGAGUUACUGGGCGUAAAGGGCGUGCAGGCGGUUGGCUAAGGUCGUUGGGAAAGCGCCCAGGCUUAACCGGGCGAGGACAAUGAAGACUGGUCAGCUAGAGGACGGUAGAGGGGUGUGGAAUUCCUGGUGUAGCGGUGGAAUGCGCAGAUAUCAGGAGGAACACCCAUAGCGAAGGCAGCUUGCUGGGACGUUACUGACGCUAAGGCGCGAAAGCGUGGGGAGCGAACAG
rnacentral:rRNA from 1 species